AUGUCAAAGGUAGAGGCUUGUGUUGAGACAGCCAAGUCAAUGGUCAUUGUUAAAGAGAUCGACGGUACUGAAUAUUGCAGUGGAUUUAUUGCAAUCACUGAAGCGAGACAGGGUACCUAUGUUGUUACCGAUGCUGAAUUUGUCAUGGACCGUAAGGACAAUUUGAUGGUUUUCUUUUCUGACAAUACUGAGCUGCCAGCCUCCUUUAUUGAGACAUACGGGCCUUUUUGUUUCCUGAAAACAAAGUUUCAUCCAGCGUGUGAGCAAAUUGAGUUGAUGGAAGCGAAUAUUACCCCCUCACCUGUGAUCAUCUUCCCUCCUUCCUCGUCAGCUAGUUUCUAUUAUCUUCCGAGUUUUGUUAUUUUGGAAUCCACAGAGUCAUAUUAUGGCAAUUUCAAAUGUGCUCGCAUUGGUGCCACUGAUCAGAUUCCUGGUUCAGGAACCUAUUUCGUGGUAAAUUGUCACUACAGCGAGAAUACCUCUGAUGGCCAUGACAGAUUAUCUACUUGUCCAGUAUAUACCUUGAGCGGAAGUGUUAUGGGCAUAAUCCUGUCAUCCGAUCCUAAGUUUACUUGGGAGAAGCUAGCAUUCUCUGCAAAGUGUGUCUCGAACUUGAUAAACUUACUCAGGACACUAUUACCUCGAAACAAGAAACAUAGAGAUGGAUAUGGCAGUUCUGGAACCAAGAAAAAGAGAGAUGGAGAUGGCAGUUCUAGAACAAAGAAAAAGAGAGAUGAAGAUGGCAGUUCUGGAAACAAGAAAAAGAGAGAUCGGGAUAGCAGUUCUCGAACCAAGAAAAAGAGGGAUGGAGAUGGCAGUUCUGAAAACAAGAAAAAGAGAGAUGGGGAUGGCAGUUCUAUGCAUGAGUCUGCUGAAAACAAGAGAAGCAAGGGUGGUGAUGGCAGUUCCAAGAAGUUGGCUGGAAAUAAGAGUAGCUCUAAUAGUAUUUCCAAGGGCAUGGAGAAUAAGGGGCCUGGCCACAAGUGCAGUUCCAAGGGCAAAAUGGGUGGAUGUGAGAUCAGUUCCAAGGUCAAGGAGUCUACUGCAAACAAGACCACGGCUGGAGACAAGGGCAAGGGGUUGGCUGCUAGCAAACGAUGA
rnacentral:rRNA from 1 species